rnacentral:rRNA from 1 species
CCUACGGGGGGCUGCAGUGGGGAAUAUUGGGCAAUGGGCGCAAGCCUGACCCAGCAACGCCGCGUGAAGGAAGAAGGCUCUCGGGUUGUAAACUUCUUUUUUCAGGGACGAAGCAAGUGACGGUACCUGAGGAAUAAGCCACGGCUAACUACGUGCCAGCAGCAGCGGUAAUACGUAGGUGGCAAGCGUUAGCCGGAUUUACUGGGUGUAAAGGGCGUGUAGGCGGGACUGCAAGUCAGAUGUGAAAACCAUGGGCUCAACCUUUAUUCUGCAUUUGAAACUGUAGUUCUUGAGUACUGGAGAGGUAGACGGAAUUCGUGGUGUAGCGGUGAAAUGCGUAGAUAUUAGGAGGAACACCAGUGGCGAAGGCGGUCUGCUGGACAGCAACUGACGCUGAGGCGCGAAAGCGUGGGGAGCAAACAGGAUUAGAUACCCUGGUAGUC